rnacentral:rRNA from 1 species
AGGAUAAACGCUGGCGGCGUGCCUAAUACAUGCAAGUCGAGCGGUAAGGUUCUCACUCUGUACUUAAAGAAAUUUAAGUGUGGUGUGAGAAUACACGAGCGGCGGACGGCUGAGUAACGCGUAGGAACGUACCCCAAAGUGAGGGAUAAGCCCGGGAAACCGGGUCUAAUACCGCAUGUGAUCUUCGGAUUAAAGCUUCGGCGCUUUGGGAGCGGCCUGCGUAUGAUUAGCUUGUUGGUGAGGUAAAAGCUCACCAAGGCGACGAUCAUUAGCUGGUCUGAGAGGAUGAUCAGCCAGACUGGGACUGAGACACGGCCCAGACUCCUACGGGAGGCAGCAGUAGGGAAUUUUCCGCAAUGGGCGCAAGCCUGACGGAGCAACGCCGCGUGCAGGAGGAAGGCCUUCGGGUCGUAAACUGCUUUUAUGUGCGACGAUUUUGACGGUUAACACAUGAAUAAGGGUCUGGCUAACUACGUGCCAGCAGCCGC